rnacentral:rRNA from 1 species
AGUGAACGCUGGCGGUAGGCCUAACACAUGCAAGUCGAACGGCAGCACAGUAAGAGCUUGCUCUUACGGGUGGCGAGUGGCGGACGGGUGAGGAAUCCAUCGGAAUCUACUUUUUCGUGGGGGAUAACGUAGGGAAACUUACGCUAAUACCGCAUGCGACCUACGGGUGAAAGCAGGGGAUCUUCGGACCUUGCGCGAUUGAAUGAGCCGAUGUCGGAUUAGCUAGUUGGCGGGGUAAAGGCCCACCAAGGCGACGAUCCGUAGCUGGUCUGAGAGGAUGAUCAGCCACACUGAAACUGAGACACGGUCCAGACUCCUACGGGAGGCAGCAGUGGGGAAUAUUGGACAAUGGGCGCAAGCCUGAUCCAGCCAUACCGCGUGGGUGAAGAAGGCCUUCGGGUUGUAAAGCCCUUUUGUUGGGAAAGAAAAGCAGCAGGAUAAUACCCCGCUGUUCUGACGGUACCCAAAGAAUAAGCACCGGCUAACUUCGUG